rnacentral:rRNA from 1 species
GAGUUUGAUCGUGGCUCAGAGCGAACGCUGGCGGCAGGCCUAACACAUGCAAGUCGAGCGCCCCGCAAGGGGAGCGGCAGACGGGAGAGUAACACGUGGGAACGUACCCUUCAGUUCGGAACAACCGAGGGAAACUUCGGCUAAUACCGGAUACGUCCGUAAGGAGAAAGAUUUAUCGCUGAAGGAUCGGCCCGCGUCUGAUUAGCUAGUUGGUGAGGUAACGGCCCACCAAGGCGACGAUCAGUAGCUGGUCUGAGAGGAUGAUCAGCCUCACUGGGACUGAGACACGGCCCAGACUCCUACGGAGGCAGCAGUGGGGAAUAUUGGACAAUGGGCGCAAGCCUGAUCCAGCCAUGCCGCGUGGAUGAUGAAGGCCCUAGGGUUGUAAAGUCCUUUUCGGCGGGGAAGAUAAUGACGGUACCCGCAGAAGAAGCCCCGGCUAACUUCGUGCCAGCCGCCGCGGUAAU